GUUACAAUGGGGGGUACAGAGGGCCGCUACCACGCGAGUGGAUGCCAAUCCCCAAAACCUCUCUCAGUUCGGACUGGAGUCUGCAACCCGACUCCACGAAGCUGGAUUCGCUAGUAAUCGCGCAUCAGCCACGGCGCGGUGAAUACGUUCCCGGGCCUUGUACACACCGCCCGUCAAGCCAUGGGAGCCGGGGGUACCUGAAGUGCGUAACCGCGAGGAGCGCCCUAGGGUAAAACUGGUGACUGGGGCUAAGUCGUAACAAGGUACC
rnacentral:rRNA from 1 species